rnacentral:rRNA from 1 species
UACGGAGGGUGCAAGCGUUAUCCGGAUUCACUGGGUUUAAAGGGUGCGUAGGUGGGCAGGUAAGUCAGUGGUGAAAUCUCCUGGCUUAACCCGGAAACUGCCAUUGAUACUAUCUGUCUUGAAUACCGUGGAGGUGAGCGGAAUAUGUCAUGUAGCGGUGAAAUGCAUAGAUAUGACCCGGAACACCUAUUGCGAAGGCAGCAGGCUAAACAAAUAUUGACGCUGAGGCUCGAAAGCGUGGGGAUCAAACAGG